AAAAUUCGUCCAAUUGAAUUUGCUCCAUUCCCUUUAGAGAAUGUGGUAGCAGUAUGUGAUAAGUCUGAAAGAAGACUAAUUACCGUAAAGGUAUCAAUGGAUAUGGACAUGGCAAUAGACGAAAUUAUAAUCGUCAUUAUUGUGAUAAUGAGAAUAAUAAAGAUUCUCAAAAUAAUCUUUCACUUUAUGAAAGUAAUAUUUGACAUGAGAUUGUAUAUAACACAUAUAGAUGAUUAUAAUCCAUUCCCUGAUAAUAAUAGUAAGUACCACUAUAAUUUUAGGUUAGGAAACAUAAUAAGUUUAUAACCACAUUCAACAAUAAAUUUCCACUUUAAUUACAUCUCUCACUAUAUGGCAAGUUUGUAAAUGAUUCAUUGUUUAUAAUACUAGGAGGUGUAGUUUCAAAAAAUAAAAGAAUAA
rnacentral:lncRNA from 1 species